CCAAAGCAGAGUAAAUUAAUUUUAGUAAUUAAAAGUUGAUGAAUAAUUAUACAAAUAAGGAAACAGUCAUCCAAAAUGUUUUGGAUACUUUCUUGAUAAGGGUAUAAAGAUAUAGCUCAGCAGUGACAUGGCCAUUAAAAGAUGGCUUCUUUCUCCUAAGGACCAGGAAAAAUUUAUUUACCUACCUAUUUCCUCUAGGUUUUCACAUUUGCAGUUUAUUCACGAUCAGAAGGUGGUAGUAUCUGAACACAUCCCUCUUCUUGCACUAACUGGGAAAAACGAUAAGAGUUUUGCUUAGGCCUUUUCGCCUGCCGUAUUUGCUGAAAUCCUUCCCACUGAUCUGUACAUCAUAGCCCUUGCACUCCCUGAAGACUUUGACUCCAAGUUAAGAAGUGAGCUCUCCAUCAGGGCCCACGAUACACACACGCGCGCGAGAUAACCUAAGGUUGCGAAGGAGCUUAGCGAUGCUUGCUCGGAUCUCCAGCAGCGAGCGGCCGGAGCUCCCGCGGGAACAAGCCCGCACUUGGCGGCCGCGCGGGUGCUCCAGGUUUCCUCCUCCUGGCCCUCCAACCCGCAGGACAAAGGCUGCAGCGUCGGCCACGCGACUAGGGAACCCAGAGAAGCGAGGGCAGGGGACACCUCGCUAGACCCAGGUGGUCAGCACUGGGGAAUCGAGAGCUCUGGCCCUGCCAUGUUCUGCAGACAGACAACUUCCUGCACCAAGGCCAGAAGGUGAUUGAUGUCCAUCGGUGCUGCUGAGUCCCAGCCGGAGACAGGUGAUGGCACCUUCAGAGCUUUAAACAGCGAGCUGACGAGUCUCCACAUAUCCUGCAAGUCAGCCCAGCUGGAUCCUUGGGAACACCCCAGAACAUGAUGCUGGUCAGCAUGGUGCAGAGGAGCAGGGAGAAGCAGCAGGACACCCUCUGGACACGGGUGAAGUUGCUCCGAGCUGCGCAGCUGAAGAUGGAAUACCAGAUGUGUCCAUCCUGGAAGCCCGUGGACGUCUUCAUGAAAAACAGGGGCUGAUCCCAAGCACUUUGUGCAACACUGAAUGCUCAACUCCAUGGCAGAGUCUGCUUUUUGGGAACCAGCCUACAGGUCAUGCAGCCUCACCUUGGCCUGAUCCUGAGCGUCCUUCCUCCUUGCCCAGAUCACCACCAGCACGUAGGCCACACAGAGGCAGCCCACGGUGGUCACAACCACAGGGUUGUCCUCGAAGGUGGCAAAGAGCUCGGCGGUCUGGCAGACGUCAAUGGCAUUGGGCAUCACCAGGAACGUGCUUCCAAAGAAGAGUUCUGGCAUGUCCUUCCAGAGCCAGUCCCUGCCUGCAUCGGAAUAUAGAAAAAGCAGCUGGCUGGUGAGAUGCCCAUCCACAGUUGGUACCCCACCUUCCACCCCACAGCAAUCUGUGCCAAGGGUACCCACAGUAUGGGGUGUGGAAUGGAAACAGACCUUGUGGGACCCACCUGGCUCACCUCCAGAGAUGAAUCACAGGGCUGGAUGCUGUGAACCAAGUUUGUGACCAGGACACACUGAAACUGGCUGGCAGGAUGCUGGACACCCGAGUCUGGAAGGGAAGAGGAAGGAAGUUUGGAAAGGGGGUCUGCCAACCCCAAGUACCUUCAAGAGGAACUGCCACAUGGAAACAAUCAAGGCAGUCAUCAAUAUAAAUGCAACAGGGAUGGAAAUGGAAACCCAAGACCAGGGAUUGUCUUGCUGGCAUUAGAACCUCACCUUCCGGAGAAGGCAUUUUAUUUUGAUGGCACAGAAGGAUGCCUGAGACCACAGAGGACUGUUGAGUUUGAAACUGGCACUCAGUGGGACAGAUUUGGGCCACGGAUAGAGCUGGCUCCUCUUGGACCCACCCCACCCAGGGCUUCCUGCAAGCAGAGCGUGCACAGGGCUGGAUUCAGAACCUCCAGCUCCCACAAGGUAGAGCUACAGAUGUUGUGGAGUUAGGGCCUUCAGGAUUUCCCUGGGGAUUCAUGUUGAACUGAGGACCGCUGGAAGGAGCCGCCAAACCCAAUGAGCAUCUGAAAAUUCUGGAACAUUCUCGGGCACCCAGCAGAGCAGGAAAGAGCUUACCCCAGGCCCGGAAAACAUUCCCACACCCAGGUGAGCUUCUUCUUCACCUCAUUACCGACUCUUUGGAUGGUCACUCGGGAGAGAGUCUACCCAGAACCAAGCCAAAAGGACCCAGCUCUUCAUGACUGUGCAUGUGGCCUCCAUCAUGAGAAAACCUGCACUGGGAAAACAAAAUGGCCAGAAUGUGUUUCCUUGCCUUGAAGAACUAAUUGUCUAGGAAGGAAGGCGACACGUAAAAAGUUGCAGUCAUGCUGGAAGUAACCUCACAGGUUGUGGACGAGGCCCUACAGGUGCAGCGGGAAGGACUCGACUGUACUGGGGUUGGAGGAGGGAGACCUCACAAAGUAAAAGCCCCAAAACUUUUCAAAUUCAGCUUUUACUUCUAUACCUCAUGACUGCUUUAUGGAUACAACACAUCCCAUGGGAAAAGUGGCCUCUGGAAAGGCAGCCUCCUCUUCCUUGCUCCUUCCCCAAAUGAUAAGAAUUCUCUGACACUUGUACCAUCUAAACUGUCCUGUCAUGCAGCCAUAGCUACCUCUGUCCACCUUGGUCAUAUAUAAAUGCCAUCUUAGCAACUCUCCUGCUAGCUCAGCACUGUCAAAAGAACUUUCCCUGACGAUGGAGAUGUUUCAUCUGCGCAUACCAGUAUGGCAGCCAUUAGCCACACGUGUCUGUGGAGCCUUUGAAAUGUGGUUAGUAUGAAUGAGGAAUUUAAUUUCAUUGUAAUUAAUUUGUCUUUAAAUUUAUAUAGACUGCCAUGUGCUGUUAGUGGCUUCGGUACUGAACAGCACAGUUAAGCUCCCACAUUAAUGCCUUCAUUGGACACGAUCUCUUGACUCAGGACACCGUUAUCUACAGUAUGAAGCCCAAAUUGUACAUCUGUGCAUAAUCCAAUCCCUAAACCAUUUUCCAUCCCCAUCUCAGUGGUAGUGGAGACGAGCUGUGAUGACAACUA